GGUGCGGAUGAACACGGCCGAUGUGGCGGCCGAGGUGAAGUGCUUGCGUCGCUUGAUCGGAAUGCGUUGUUCCAAUGUCUACGAUCUUUCUCCCAAGACGUACAUGUUCAAGCUGAUGUAUAGUAGUGGUGUGACGGAGUCUGGGGAGAGCGAAAAGGUUUUUCUUUUGAUGGAAAGUGGUAUCAGAUUACACACUACUGCUUAUGUCCGGGACAAAAGUAACACUCCAUCUGGGUUUACUCUCAAACUAAGGAAACAUGUACGGACUAGAAGGUUAGAGGAUGUGCGGCAGCUUGGAUAUGAUCGGAUUAUUUUGUUUCAAUUUGGACUGGGAGCUAGUGCUUGCUACAUUAUAUUGGAGCUAUAUGCCCAGGGAAACAUUAUUCUCACCGAUUCUGAUUUUACAGUCAUGACCCUACUUCGGUCCCACAGGGAUGAUGAUAAAGGGGUUGCAAUCAUGUCAAGGCAUCGGUAUCCUACUGAAAUUUGUAGAAUUUUUGAGCGAACUACUGUGGAAAAGUUACAGGCAACGCUCACAAUUACUAAUGAACCCGAUAACAUCGAAUCUGUUAAGGUUAAUGACAGUGGAAUUCACACGCAUCCUACUUCGAAAGAAAAGCAGGGUAGCCAUAAAGGGGGAAAGAAUUCUGAUUCGAAUAGAAGUGCAAGUGAUGGUACUCGUGCCAAACAAACCACUUUAAAAAUUGUUCUUGGGGAAGCACUUGGAUAUGGGCCUGCACUUUCUGAGCAUAUCAUAUUAGAUGCUGGUCUGGCUCCGAAUACAAAAGUUUCUAAAGAUAACAAGCUGGAUGAUGCUACAAUUCAGUUUUUGGCCCAAGCUGUUGAGAAGUUUGAGGAUUGGCUGCAGGAUGUCAUAUCAGGUGAUAGAAUUCCUGAAGGAUAUAUUUUGAUGCAAAAUAAAAAAUUGGGAAAGGAUGAGCAUCCGUCUGAAGCAGGAAGUAUAGGCCAGAUAUAUGAUGAAUUCUGCCCCAUAUUACUUAACCAGUUUAAGUCACGGGAGCAUAUGAAGUUUGAAACAUUUGAUGCAGCUUUGGAUGAGUUUUACAGCAAAAUUGAGAGUCAAAGAUCUGAACAACAGCAAAAAGCAAAAGAAAUCUCUGCCAUCCAGAAACUUAACAAGAUACGCACGGAUCAGGAAAAUCGUGUGCUUACACUAAGACAAGAAGUCGACCGUUGUGUUAAAAUGGCAGAACUGAUUGAGUAUAACUUAGAAGAUGUAGAUUCUGCUAUAUUAGCCGUUCGCGUGGCUCUUGCAAAGGGUAUGAGUUGGGAGGAUCUUGCUCGCAUGGUGAAGGAAGAGAAGAAAUCUGGAAAUCCAGUUGCUGGCCUAAUUGACAAGCUUUAUCUAGAAAGAAAUUGCAUGACAUUGCUUUUGAGCAACAAUCUUGAUGAAAUGGAUGAUGAUGAAAAGACAAUGCCGGUCGAUAAGGUAGAAGUUGAUUUGGCGCACUCAGCCCAUGCCAACGCUCGGCGGUGGUAUGAACUUAAGAAGAAGCAGGAGAACAAACAGGAAAAGACUGUCACAGCACAUGAAAAAGCAUUUAAAGCCGCUGAAAGAAAGACUCGCCUCCAGAUGAAUCAGGAGAAAACCGUUGCUACCAUUUCACAUAUGCGUAAAGUUCACUGGUUUGAGAAAUUUAACUGGUUCAUAAGCAGUGAGAACUAUUUGGUUAUCAGUGGACGUGAUGCUCAACAAAAUGAGAUGAUAGUCAAGCGCUAUAUGUCGAAAGGAGAUCUGUACGUCCAUGCAGAGUUGCAUGGAGCUUCUUCAACUGUGAUUAAAAACCAUAGGCCUGACCAACCUGUACCUCCACUCACGUUAAACCAAGCAGGAUCUUACACAGUUUGCCAGAGCCAGGCAUGGGAUUCAAAGAUUGUCACUAGUGCUUGGUGGGUUUACCCCCACCAAGUCAGUAAAACUGCUCCUACAGGGGAAUACCUUACGGUUGGGAGUUUCAUGAUCCGUGGGAAGAAGAACUUUCUUCCUCCACACCCUCUUGUUAUGGGAUUCGGCUUGUUAUUUCGCUUGGAUGAGAGCUCGUUGGGUUCACAUUUAAAUGAAAGGAGGGUAAGAGGUGAGGAAGAAGUGAUGAAUGGGGUUGAUAAAAGUGGCCCUCUCAGAGAAGAAUCUGAUACAGAGUCAGAGACUGAAGAACAUAAAGAAGAACCAAAAAGCCUUCCUGAUUCAUCUGAAAAUUUACCGAGACCGGUACCAGAAGCUCUGUCUGCGGUUGAUUCUGCUCAGAAUGAUCCGGCAAUGUCCUCUUCUGAACCAGAGAAAACUUACGAACUGUCUGCCAAAGAUGGCAAGAUAUUUACUGAUGUUGAUCAGGAGAAUGCAUCUAACGUUGCUGGUGAUGAUGUUGCCUCAGUCACACCGCAACUUGAGGAUCUCAUUGAUAGAGCUCUUGGGCUUGGAUCUGCUACUACAUCUAGCAAGAACUAUAAGAUUGAAACUUCUCAAGCAGAUUUGGCAGAGGAGAAUGAUGAUGAAGAGAGAAAGGUACCAGUAAGAGAUAAGCCCUAUAUCUCAAAAGCUGAAAGAAGAAAGCUUAAGAAAGGCCAGAAAAAUGGUACAGAAGCAAAUGUUGAGCAGGAAGGGGAAAAAUCAGAAAGUGAUCAUUCUUUGACAAAUGUCAAGCAGAAAGGGGGAAAUUCAGAAAGUGAUCGUUCUGCGACUCCGUUUGAAAAGCAUGUUCAUGAUGCAAAGCCGAGUGGUGGAAAGAUCAGCCGUGGACAGAAGGCUAAACUCAAGAAGAUGAAAGAAAAGUACGCUGAUCAAGAUGAGGAAGAAAGAAGCAUCCGUAUGGCCUUACUUGCUUCUGCAGGAAAAGAACAGAAGAAAGACACUGAGUCGCAAAAUGUAAAUGCAGCUCCAACCAAAGGAAAGAAACCUGAUGGUGGUCCUCUGGACGCUCCAAAAAUAUGUUAUAAAUGUAAAAAGGCCGGUCACUUGUCCCGGGACUGUCAAGAGCGUCCAGAUGAUGCAUCACAUAGUCCUGUUGAUGGAGGUGAAGGUGAUUCUCAAGUGGCCGAGGAUUUGGAUAAAGCUGCUUCUGAGGUAGACAAGAUACCGUUGGAGGAGGAUGAUAUUCACGAGAUAGGUGAAGAAGAGAAAGGGAAACUAAAUGAUGUGGACUACUUGACUGGGAAUCCCUUGCCUACUGAUAUUCUCUUGUACGCUGUGCCUGUCUGUGGUCCUUAUAGCGCAGUGCAAACUUACAAAUACCGUGUGAAGAUUACUCCUGGCACUGCAAAGAAAGGGAAAGCUGCAAAAACUGCUAUGAACUUGUUCAGCCACAUGCCGGAAGCAACGAAUAGAGAGAAGGAAUUGAUGAAAGCAUGCACAGAUCCUGAAUUAGUAGCUGCCAUUAUUGGAAAUGCGAAGAUAACGGCUGCGGGCCUUACACAAUUGAAACAGAAGCAAAAGAAGAGCAAAAAGAGCAGCAAAGGAAAAAACUAGUCAAACAUAGUUCCAGCUAGGGGAGACGCUAUUUCAUCUGCUAUCUUUCUGUAGUUGAAAAAAGGCUUAUUGUUCUAGUUUGUCCCCCUCAAAUUUUGUACUUUGUACGUGCUUGCUGAAGUCAUAGCCUUACACAAUGUGACUAGCUUGCCGUGUGCUUUGGUCGAGCUCGAGUAGCAUUCUUCCUUUGCCUAUGAGUGAACACGAAGACCACGAGCAAAUGCAUUUUCAAAGAGUAGCCCUUUUCCUUUAACCUUAUGUGAAAGGGGUGCUAUAUCAAAAAUCAGUCAAUGACGUCUUUGAAUUGAACCUAGAGUCGCUUCUCACCCCCAAAAAAAAUCGUAAGUUAUGCUUAUGGGAGUUUCUCUAAUAGUCUGCUUUAUCAGUAGUCUCAAUUUUUAACUGUUAAUUUGAUUAAAAUCACAUCACAUUGAAAAAGUAUACAGAGCAAAUAGAUUUUGAUAUAGUCUAAUGGCUGAAAAGUAAGUGCAGAGACUACAAGAGAAAGUCCAUAUGCUCAUACCAUGUUAUUUUCAUGUAAUAAGAGCUUUAUGCUCCUUUUAUAGUUGAAUCAUUUAGCUUAGUGUUAAGCUCCUCUAGAGAAAACUCUAAACCUUGUUAAUUAGAUACGGCCUCAACUAUAAGCUGAUAGCUUUCUUCCCACUAAUAGCCGUAGGAAUAGAGCGGGAUUUAAUGUUUCUGGUCGGUUCUCGAAUAUUUUUUAACUACUCAAAUAUGCUCUUUUGGUUAAUAAAUAGUAGAGUAAGGCUUUUCUCAUAAUCAUUGACGCAGACAAAUAAUACAACAAAGAAAAUAUUAUAUGGUUUGGAAAAAUCGGUGGGAGAAGUUCAUAAGAUUAAUUUUUUUUUUUUUUUUUUUUUUUUUUUUUUUUUUUUUUUUUUUUUUUUU